CUGUUUUCCAUCUGUGUUUCACGUUAUUCUUUGGAGUCCUCGUUUUCUUUUGGGAGAAGGUACCAGUGUUGAAUCCGGAGCGUAUCCCGGUCUGGUAUGCAAUGCCAUUCCCAGACAGACAGCCCUAGGCCCUCGGUGGAGAUGACGCUAGUGCUUGAAGGUGAUGUUUUUUCCUUGGACUGCGUGGCUGGCGAGAUGGUAACGCUGAGGCGGGGAGCAGCUUCACAGCUCAUUGCCCUCAUCAGAGCAGCCGCCUGAGAAGCACCGUGCCAAAGCCAAGCGCUCGCCGGGUACCCGCUGCAUCGCUGCGAAGGGCGGGGAGCAGCGCGCCCGCUCGCCGGGGCUCCUCGGGGACCCGCUGCCUGCCAGCUUCCCUCUGCCGUCCUCUGAGGCGGCCUGUCCCCAGAUACACGUGUCUGGGAAAGUGCCAAGAUCACAGUCAAAAGGGAGUCACCAAUGAAGAUUUCUCUGUGCAGCUAAGCAAACAGCUCAUGAAGAAAACUCUAAAUGAAACAGGGAAUGAGCACCAUGUAACCAGACAUCUAUAAACCUUCAGAUGCAGACCACUGACAGGAAUCUGUAGACUGCCAGUUUGGGAAACCUCUGCUUUAAACCUCUAAAUGAUUCAACAUUUGUGUAAGUCAGAUGCAUUCUGGUGCUACCUAGCUAAAUAAUUUUAUAGACAUGUUCAUUGUAAUGCUAAGA
rnacentral:lncRNA from 1 species